rnacentral:misc_RNA from 1 species
GAACGCACAUUGCGCCCUGUGGUAUUCCGCAGGGCAUGCCUGUUCGAGCGUCAUUUCAACCCUCAAGCUCUGCUUGGUGUUGGGCCCCGCCCGCUCGCGGCCGGCCCUAAAGACAGUGGCGGCAGCGCCUGGCUCCAAGCGUAGUACAGCUCUCGCUCUGGGGCUAGGCGGUAGCCUGCCAGAACCCCCCUUCUAUGGUUGACCUCGGAUCAGGUAGGGAUACCCGCUGAACUUA